AAUCUGGGAAGACCGGUGAGAGUCCGGCACAGGCCCGCUGCGGUGAACCGGGCCCCCGAAGGGGGGACCCGGCAAGUCCGAAGACCG
rnacentral:ncRNA from 14 species